rnacentral:rRNA from 1 species
UAGGGAAUCUUCCUCAAUGGACGCAAGUCUGAUGGAGCAACGCCGCGUGAGUGAAGAAGGUUUUCGGAUCGUAAAGCUCUGUUGUUGGUGAAGAAGGAUAGAGGCAGUAACUGGCCUUUAUUUGACGGUAAUCAACCAGAAAGUCACGGCUAACUACGUGCCAGCAGCCGCGGUAAUACGUAGGUGGCAAGCGCUGUCCGGAUUUAUUGGGCGUAAAGCGAGCGCAGGCGGAAUGCUAAGUCUGAUGUGAAAGCCCACGGCUCAACCGUGGAACUGCAUCUGAAACUGUCAUUCUUGAGUGCAGAAGAGGAGAGUGGAAUUCCAUGUGUAGCGGUGGAAUGCGUAGAUAUAUGGCAGAACACCAGUGGCGAAGGCGGCUCUCUGGUCUGCAACUGACGCUGAGGCACGAAAGCAUGGGUAGCGAACAGG